UAUUCUGAAAUAACGAUGUUUCAUUGCUUAUUUCAAAGACAAAAUCUUUAAGUAAAUCCGUUUAUUUUUUGUGUAUAGAAAUGAAUAUAAAAAAACAAGUGCCGUAAACAAGUAGACUAUUUGACAUUUACGAUCAAUUCAAAAUAUCAGUCGACAACAGUGACACUUUAUUUCGUUGAUUUUUUAAUCGUUUUUCUUUCGUCGUAUAAGAUUAACUGUUUUCUUCUGCGUUUCUAUAAAAAAAAGCACAUUAUGUUCGCAAACGUCUCAAUAUUUUCAACUCGUUAACAGUCCUAACUAAGCGGAACGCCGAAUUGUUUGAUAACUAAAAAAGGCAGACAUUCUGUACAACAAUUAAUAUGUAAUUGCAGUUUUUACUAAAGUCAGUAAAUAGCGACGGGUUGAGACCUUCAGAUGAAUGAAAAAAUGUACAUAUGUAUUGUGGCAUGUAUUACACACACACACACAUACACUGUUACAUUAAAUAAUAUGUAUACAUAGUAGAUCUCACCUGGGCCUCCGUCGAAGGUACAGUACAUUAGCUGCCAGUACGGCGCUGGUGAGUGCCAGCAGUCCAGCCAGCACUCCCAGCGCUAACAGCACUGGAUCACGUACAGUAUCCCACCCAGACACGCACCCUAACAUCAGUAACGAUGAAGAGUUCACUUGGGUACAGCUGCAAAUGGAAUAAUUUUGUCUUUAUUGGUAUUGGGUACAACUGCAAAAAUAUUUACCAUCAUCGGUAGGGAAAGUUUUGGUUUUAUUUUAAAGAGAAAUACAAACAAUUUAAGCUUACAGUAUUAAAGUCUUUGAAAACUCUUUCAACUAUUAGUAUUAAUUCUUUAUAUGACACAUAUUUUCUCUAUCCAUAGAGAUGAUAAAUGUUGGAAAAUGUGAUUGGAAAAUCCUUUAAGUAGUAUUUUGUUCAGACUUGAUAUUAAUCUUACUUGUGAAUUUCUCGUACCAAAUUAGCCGAGAUACAUAUUUAAAAGGACCUCUUUUUGUGUAUGUCAAUUUUAUUUAUAUUUCUUGUAUUUGGCCUAUUUUCUUAGAAAUCGCUAAUAACUUUGUAAUUACAUACUUGCAGGGUUCUACAAAGGGUGUGUCCGUUGUUUUAAUUGGCUCAGGUUUGAGAGUUUCACAGCGGACGCCCUCGAAGUUAUUAGCACAUUUACAGCUUGGCUUGUUUUGUAUGAGCGAGCACUCGCCGUCAUUCAAACAAUAUCCAUAGCAUACAUUUAGUUCACACCUUUGUCCAGUGAAACCGGCUUGACACCUGUUAUGUUAUGAAGAAAAUUAUUAUAAUAAUAUUUGUGUAAUGUUUUAUUCAAUAUAUAAUUCUCUUUGAAAGAUGUUUCGAUCAGUCAUAGUAUAUGUUUCAUUAUAUAGAUCCUGCUGAAAUUAACUAAGAUUUUAAGUUACUCACUUGCAUUGAGGUUUUCCUUCACUGUUGCUGGUGCAGUCGCCGUUCAAACAGAAGUUCUGACAAACAGAUAUUUCACACCUGUCUCCGAUGUAUCCCGGGGAACAUUUACAAUCAAAUAUCCCGGUCUUGACUCCAUGAAGACAAAAUAGACCGGCAUCUCUAGGAAUGUUGAUGGAAUCGUUCACUGAGCUGUGAUUUUUCUGCAAUUUAACCAAAACUUCGCAUCCCGAUACUCCUUCUGUUUGAUCAGCUACUUGAUAGUUAG